GAGCGCCCCUCCUUCAAGCGAGCUUGGAGGAUUGCGCGGCGGUGUCUUCGAACGGGCGUAAGCUCGUUUCGAGGGAAACCGUUUCGAAAUCAAGCGGACCGAAGGGCUCGCUUGAUGGAGGGGAGCGGCAGACGGGAGAGUAACACGUGGGAACGUACCCUUUGGUUCGGAACAACCCAGGGAAACUUGGGCUAAUACCGGAUAAGCCCUUACGGGGAAAGAUUCAUCGCCGAAGGAUCGGCCCGCGUCUGAUUAGCUAGUUGGUGGGGUAAUGGCCCACCAAGGCGACGAUCAGUAGCUGGUCUGAGAGGAUGAUCAGCCUCACUGGGACUGAGACACGGCCCAGACUCCUACGGGAGGCAGCAGUGGGGAAUAUUGGACAAUGGGCGCAAGCCUGAUCCAGCCAUGCCGCGUGGGUGAUGAAGGCCCUANGGUUGUAAAGCUCUUUCGGCGGGGAAGAUAAUGACGGUACCCGCAGAAGAAGCCCCGGCUAACUUCGUG
rnacentral:rRNA from 1 species